rnacentral:rRNA from 1 species
UACGUAGGGUGCGAGCGUUGUCCGGAAUUAUUGGGCGUAAAGAGCUUGUAGGCGGUUUGUCGCGUCUGCUGUGAAAUCUCAAGGCUCAACCUUGAGCUUGCAGUGGGUACGGGCAGACUAGAGUGUGGUAGGGGAGACUGGAAUUCCUGGUGUAGCGGUGAAAUGCGUAGAGAUCAUGAGGAAGACCAGUGGCGAAGGCGGGUCUCUGGACAGUUCCUGACACUGAGACACGAAGGCCAGGGGAGCAAACGGG